rnacentral:rRNA from 1 species
ACGAACGCUGGCGGCGUGCUUAGCACAUGCAAGUCGAACGGUGAAGCGCCUUCCUUUUUGGUGGGUGUGGAUGAGUGGCGAACGGGUGAGUAACACGUGAGUAACCUGCCCCCUUCUUCUGGAUAACCGCAUGAAAGUGUGGCUAAUACGGGAUAUUCUGGGUCUGUCGCAUGAUGGGUCUGGGAAAGAUAUUGUUUCGGUGGGGGAUGGGCUCGCGGCCUAUCAGCUUGUUGGUGGGGUGAUGGCCUACCAAGGCGGUGACGGGUAGCCGGCCUGAGAGGGUGGACGGUCACACUGGGACUGAGACACGGCCCAGACUCCUACGGGAGGCAGCAGUGGGGAAUAGUGCACAAUGGGCGCAAGCCUGAUGCAGCGACGCCGCGUGAGGGAUGGAGGCCUUCGGGUUGUGAACCUCUUUCGCCAGUGAAGCAGGCCUGCCUCGUUUGUGGGUGGGUUGACGGUAGCUGGAUAAGAAGCGCGGGCUAACUACGUG